GGCUUGAUAGUAUAACGGCUAGUGCUCCUGCUCCGACUACUGCAGUCAUGAUCUCAUGCAGGCGAUCCCGGUUCGACUCCGGGUCAGGCCA